rnacentral:rRNA from 1 species
AGAACGAACGCUGGCGGCAUGCCUAAUACAUGCAAGUCGAACGAACACUUCGGUGUUAGUGGCGCACGGGUGCGUAACGCGUGGGAAUCUGCCCUUUGGUUCGGAAUAACAGUUGGAAACGACUGCUAAUACCGGAUGAUAUCGAAAGAUCAAAGAUUUAUCGCCCAGGGAUGAGCCCGCGUAGGAUUAGCUAGUUGGUGAGGUAAUGGCUCACCAAGGCGACGAUCCGUAGCUGGUCUGAGAGGAUGAUCAGCCACACUGGAACUGAGACACGGUCCAGACUCCGUACGGGACGGCAGCGAGGUGGGAAUAGUUGGACAAGU